UUGCUAACUCCUCAGUAAGGAAAGCCUGCUUCAUGUCAGAGUCUCUAAACUCCAGAAGAAGUCGAUAAAAGUCCCUUUCUUUCUAAAAAAAGUCGUUAGGGGGUCUGAAAAGUCAUUGAAUCUAACAACAAAGUCGCUAGGUUUGCAACUACGUGUCCCAGACUGCAUCCCUGCUGAGAGUCCCUCCCUCCCUUCUCAUGUUGCAGGAAGAACGUAAGCGCCCGCCCCUUGUCAAUCAGUCACCAUAUAAUUUUGGAUUGGUUGUUGUGGUGAAGUUUUCCACCAAUAGGAGAGAUGUUGUGGUGUGUUUUUUUUUUCUUUUGGCAAGCCUUUUCCGCCUGUAAGAGCUGUCGCUAAUGUCUGCAUGCUAUGUUUUCCUGUCUCAUACAGCGCGAUCGAGCGCCGAACGUGAUCAAAAUAAGCAGAAAAAAAGUAUCGCGGACAUAAUUUAUCAUAACUCUGGUUUUAUUUGGCCUAUCAACACAAUUUAAAAACUGGUAUAUAGGUUGAGGUCCUCACUUUUGAGAUAAGUUGAAACGGAGAGUCAACGAGGCUCCGUCUUGCAGCUACAUCCGGUUAAAUAUGUCAUGUGACUUGAACGCACACACAGACACACACACGCACACACACACACACACUCAGAGUCUGGUUUUUAGCACCUGCAAAAACAUGCUAUUUACAUAUUUGACAAGAAUGCAGAGGCUCCUUUUGCCCCUGAAAAAAAUCAAAUUUCAAACACAACUUGACUGGUCAUUUCUCCAAAAGACAACCAUGAAGCUCCAUCCAAACCUGAAGCAGGCAGUUGGUGCAUGUGUACAGUAACCUGAGGGGAGUGAGGUGAGUGCUUCUGAGGAGAACAUGAGCAGUGAAGAUUCACCUUGGAGCUAGAACAGAGACAUGCACAUGAUUAUACAGGGGCAGGGGCUCAAGUUUUUUCCAGUCGUUUAUACAAUAUGGAAAUUAAUGUGAAAUUAAAACACAAAGUAUUAAUAGAAAGGUAAUGACUGUCCUGUGUAGGUGACAGUGAUAUCCAAUAGGCUAGGCACUCACGAGGCUGGCUGUGGCAAGUGUAAGUGAAAGCAACACGCACUGGCAGGAAGAACAGCAAACGCCGAUGAAGGAAAAGGGUCUUUGCAGUGAUGGGCGUUACCAGAGAGGGCGAUGGCCAGAGGACACAAAUGGGACGGGGAGGCAGCACGUUGGGGGGACGCGACACGGCUCGGGCCCGCCAGUGCCCCAACGGGGUCCUAGUUAGGGCCCGAGCGUAGCUGCUAAGCAGCUGCGAGAGCCCUAUUAUUCCCCAAGUGGUUUUUCUUUGUUUCUUUUUUCUUUUUCCUCCCCUUUGAACUGGAAAAUGGCCCACUUCCCACUGGCGAAAACUCAUGAAAUUUGGCAGGACGACCGGGCCUGGUGAAAAAUUUGAUAUUCUGAAGUCGCCCAAACAAUACAAUGCAAAAUGGCUCCAUAGCGCCCCCUAAGGUGAAAAAUUCACCUGACGCCUGUACGCUUUGUCAAAAUGACACAAAAAUUGACACACACAUGUAUCUCAAUAAGAUCUACAAAAAAGUCAGUGCGGGCGUAUCUGUCUAAUGUACGGUUAAAGGGUUAUUGCGCAUUUUUUGCCGAUCCGCACACAUUGGAAUUUCGCUAACUCCUCCAAAGGCUUUCGUUCCACCGGCACCACAUUUGCUCAGGCCAAUCUACACCCCAUGGCCAUUAAAAGUUAUUCAAAUCAUGACGCUGCACCCCACGGUUUAGGUUCUAGGGGGCGCCAAAUAUAACCCUAAAAUCCACAUAUUUCAAAGUCUUAUAACUUUUUAUUUUUGUCCUCACUGGCCUCCAAGUUUUCUAGGAUGAUGCAAUGUCCAGCCAUCAACACAUUUGUGAAGGAAUUUUUACUCCCCGAAAGAGCGCCCCCCCAUGGCAGGAGAAAAAAGUCCAUUUUUUCUUGUCCCAUAAGGUGAAAAAACACAUUGUUGACUGUCAUACCUGUACGCUUUGUCAUAUUGACACAAAAUUUGACAAUCACAUGUAUCUCAAUAAGAUCUACGAAAAAGUCAAUGCGCGCGUAUCUGUAAAAUGUACGGUUAAAGGGCUAUUUUGCAUUUUUUGCCGAUUCGCACACAUUGGAAUUUUGCUAACUCCUCCGAAGGCUUUCGUUCCACAGGCACCACAUUUGCUCAGGCCAAAUUACACCCCAUGGCCAUUAAAAGUUAUUCAAAUCAUGACGCUGCACCCCACGGUUUACGUUCUAGGGGGCGCCAAAGAUAACCCAAAAAUCCACAUUUUUAAAAGUCUUUUAACUUUUUAUUUUUGUCCUCACUGGCCUCCAAGUUUUCUAGGAUGAUGCAAUGUCCAGCCAUCAACACAUUUGUGAAGGAAUUUUUACACCCUAAAAGAGCGCCCCCCCAUGGCAGGAGAAAAAAGUCCAUUUUUUCUUGUCCCCUAAGGUGAAAAUACACAUUGUUGACUGUCACGCCUGUACGCUUUGGCAAAAUGACACAAAAAUUGACAAUCAUGUGUAUCUCAAUUAGAUCUACGAAAAAGUCAAAGACCGCGUAUCUGUAUAAUGUACGGUAAAAGGGCUAUUUUGCAUUUUUUGCCAAUUCGCACACAUUGGAAUUUCGCUAACUCCUCCUAAGGCCUUCGUCCCACUGACACCAAAUUUGCUCAGGCCAAUCUACACUCCAUGGCCAUUCAAAGUUGUAAAAAUCAUGACGCUGCACCCCACGGUUUACGUUUUAGGGGGCGCCAAAGAUGACCCAAAUAUACAUUACAGUAGACAAAGUAGUUUUGCCCACUGAGUGGCGCCAAAGGGACUUGUCUGUGGAGUCUGUGAGUCACUAUUGGCCGUUUUUGACUACUUUAGAUUUUACCUUUAUAUUUCCUCUUACAAAAUUUUUACCUAGCCUUGCCUGGUAUCAUUUUUUUCAGCACAACCUCACCUGUGUCAAUUUACAGUUAUUUUAUCAUUUUGACAUACUAUAUUUACACAUUGGACCCAAAUUCACACACAAAACAUAAAAUCCGAGUGGAAAAAAGUAACGUUUUUACUGUGAAAACCACAAAUAUGUGUGAUGAACUGUUUUUAAAACUUAAACUUCAAAUAAAAAUUGUAAACUUCAAAACAUAUGCAAAUUUUUAACAAAGAACAUAGUAAUUUACCUCUAUUGACAUCAAAAUGCAGGCAAUGGCCCAGGAGUUCUUUGUAAAAUUAUUUACAAAACACUGUAUAGUCUCACAAAUGUCACUUUUUAUUUAUGCCACUACAAAAAAACAUGAUGUAAAUGAUGCAUGAUGUAAAACAUGAUGUAAAAAACUUGUGUAGAUCCUCCUCUAUGUUAGUCCAUGUGUAAUUUUUCCAUAAUUCUUUGUUUUUUGCAGCAUUUUUGUUAGUGUAACUGCAGAUUGUGCUGACAGUGUCUAUGGCAAAAAAAAAAAAAAAAAAAACUGAAAAUGCCUCAACAUGAACCCCUGGUGGUCUCUGAGGGUGAAACCUGCUAACUGCUGCAGCUCUGUCAGCUUCAGUCUCCCAUGCAGAGCUCGGAGCGCAUGUGUGGCUCUGCACCCUUAGCAGUGUUGCUAACUCCUCAGUAAGGAAAGCCUGCUUCAUGUCAGAGUCUCUAAACUCCAGAAGAAGUCGAUAAAAGUCACUUUCUUUCUAAAAAAAAGUCGUUAGGGGGUCUGAAAAGUCAUUGAAUCUAACAACAAAGUCGCUAGGUUUGCAACUACGUGUCCCAGACUGCAUCCCUGCUGAGAGUCCCUCCCUCCCUUCUCAUAUUGCAGGAAGAACGUAAGUUCCCGCCCCUUGUCAAUCAGUCACCAUAUAAUUUUGGAUUGGUUGUUGUGGUGAAGUUUUCCACCAAUAGGAGAGAUGUUGUGGUGUGUUUUUUUUUUCCUUUGGCAAGCCUUUUCCGCCUGUAAGACCUGUCGCUAAUGUCUGCAUGCUAUGUUUUCCUGUCUCAUACAGCGCGAUCGAGCGCCGAACGUGAUCAAAAUAAGCAGAAAACAAGUAUCGCGGACAUAAUUUAUCAUAACUCUGGUUUUAUUUGGCCUAUCAACACAAUUUAAAAACUGGUAUAUAGGUUGAGGUCCUCACUUUUGAGAUAAAUUGAAACGGAGAGUCAACGAGGCUCUGUCUUGCAGCUACAUCCGGUUAAAUAUGUCAUAUGACUUGAACGCACACACACACACACACACACACACACACACACAAAGACACACACACACACGCACACACACACACUCAGAGUCUGGUUUUUAGCACCUGCAAAAACAUGCUAUUUACAUAUUUGACAAGAAUGCAGAGGCUCCUUUUGCCCCUGAAAAAAAUCAAAUUUCAAACACAACUUGACUGGUCAUUUCUCCAAAAGACAACCAUGAAGCUCCAUCCAAACCUGAAGCAGGCAGUUGGUGCAUGUGUACAGUAACCUGAGGGGAGUGAGGUGACUGCUUCUGAGGAGAACAUGAGCAGUGAAGAUUCACCUUAGAGCUAGAACAGAGACGUGCACAUGAUUAUACAGGGGCAGGGGCUCAAGUUUUUUCCAGUUGUUUAUACAAUAUGGAAAUUAAUGUGAAAUUAAAAAACAAAGUAUUAAUAGAAAGGUAAUGACUGUCCUGUGUAGGUGACAGUGAUAUCCAAUAGGCUAGGCACUCACGAGGCUGGCUGUGGCAAGUGUAAGUGAAAGCAACACGCACUGGCAGGAAGAACAGCAAACGCCGAUGAAGGAAAAGGGUCUUUGCAGUGAUGGGCGUUACCAGAGAGGGCGACGGCCAGAGGACGCGAAUGGGACGGGGAGGCAGCGCGUUGGGGGGGGGACGCGACACAGCUCGGGCCCGCCAGUGCCCCAACGGGGUCCUAGUUCUUCUUCUUCUUCUUAUUAUUUUUCUGCCCCUUUGAACUGGAAAAUGGCCCACUUCCCACUGGUGAAAAGUCAUGAAAUUUGGCAGGACGACCGGGCCUGGUGAAAAAUUCGAUAUUCUGAAGUCGCCCAAAAAAUCAAAUGCAAAAUGGCUCCAUAGCGCCCCCUAAGGUGAAAAAUUCACAUGAUUGAGUGUCACGCCUGUACGCUUUGUCAAAAUGACACAAAAUUUGACACACACGUGUAUCUCAAUAAGAUCUACAAAAAAGUCAGUGCGGGCGUAUCUGUCAAAUGUACGGUUAAAGGUUUAUUUCGCAUUUUUUGCCGAUCCGCACACAUUGGAAUUUCGCUAACUCCUCCGAAGGUUUUCGUUCCACCGGCACCACAUUUGCUCAGGCCAAUCUACACCCCAUGGCCAUUAAAAGUUGUACAAAUCAUGACACUGCACCCCACGGUUUACGUUCUAGGGGGCGCCAAAGAUAACCCAAAAAUCCACAGUCUUAAAAGUCUUAUAACUUUUUAUUUUUGUCCUCACUGGCCUCCAAGUUCUCUAGGAUGAUGCAAUGUCCAGCCAUCAACACAUUUGUGAAGGAAUUUUUACUCGCCAAAAGAGCGCCCCCCAUGGCAGGAGAAAAAAGUCCAUUUUUUCUUGUCUCCUAAGGCGAAAAUACACAUUGUUGACUGUCACGCCUUUACGCUUUGUCAAAAUGACACAAAAUUUGACACACACAUGUAUCUCAAUAAGAUCUACGAAAAAGUCAAUGCGAGCGUAUCUGUUCAAUGUACGGUUAAAGGGCUGUUUCGCAUUUUUUGCCGAUUCGCACACAUUGGAAUGUGGCUAACUCCUCCUAAAGCUUUUGUCCCAUCGGCUUCAAAUUUGCUCAGGUCAAUCUACACCCCAUGGCCAUUCAAAGUUGUACAAAUCAUGACGCUGCACCCCACGGUUUACGUUCUAGGGAGUGCCAAAGAGGACCCAAAUAUCCACAUUUUUAAAAGUCUUAUAACUUUUUAUUUUUGUCCUCACUGGCCUCCAAGUUUUCUAGGAUGAUGCAAUGUCCAGCCAUCAACA